UUUCCAUGCUACUAUUUCUCCCCCUUCACAUCAAUCUUCACAAGGAGACAUACUCAUUCUCCCUCCGCUCCCCACACAAGCAGACUAGUAAUAUAGAACGCUUGAUCCUUCUUCCUCCACCUCUGUGCUCUUUACUGCCCAGUUCACCCCAAAUCUUUAAAACAAAACAAAACAAAACAAAACAAAAAAAAAACAUUUUGAGGGAGCAGGUGGGAGAACCAGAGGUCUGGAGAGAUGGCAAUAUGGUUCGAAACGCAUACUGCACUUGAAGAGCAACCAAGUUUUGUUUCCAGAACCCAUGUGAGGAGGCUCACAACCGUCUGUAACUUCAGGAGAUCCAAUGCUUUCUACUAGACUAUUUGGGUGCCAGCACUCAAGAGACAGAGGCAGACAGAUCUCUGUGAGUUCAAGGAGCGCCUAAAACAAAGUAAGAUGUGCCCAUUGAUGAAAAAAAGAAGAAGAAGAAGAAGAAGAAGAAGAAGAAGAAGAAGAAGAAGAAGAAGAAGAAGAAGAAGAAGAAGAAGAAGAAGAAGAAGAAAAAGCCUGGUGGUGGUGCACACCUUUAAUCCCAGCACUCGGGAGGCAGAGGCAGGUGGAUCUCUGUGAGGUCAAGGCCAGCCUGCUCUACAAAUCAAUUUCCAGGACAAAUAGGGCUACACAGAGAAACCCUGUCUUACAAAAAAGAAAAGAAAAAGAAAGAAAGAAGGAAAGAAAGAAAGAAAGAAAGAAAGAAAGGAAGGAAGGAAGGAUGAAAGAAAGAAGGAAAGAAUGGUCAAAUGUCCAUAGCUGGAGGUGUGGCAACAGCCCCUAGUGGGGAAGCUAGUGUUAUUGUUUUGCUAUAUGAACAUGAAGUCCCUGUCAAGUUGCCUUCUAAGUAUUUCUGUCUGUAGUCAUAGAUUUGUGCUGUCAGCUUUGGUAAUAGAAGCUUCUUUCGCUUUGGUCAUAGAAGCUUCUUUCUGUAGUGGGCAAUGCUUACUGCAGAGACUCUUAACAAGGCAGAAGAGGGAGUGAAAGAUCUAAGUGCUGGGGAAAGGCAUGGAGUGUCAUGGAAUGGUGUCCUCUGGGCAUGACAUGAGUGUUACACUCUUGAAUUCUCGGCAGUUGAGACCUCACCCGCUUAGUGCUGUUAACAUUCCAUUCCAUCAUGAGGUCUCUUCUCUUCCUGAGGAUAAUCAUUGCCAGGGAGGAGGAGCUCAAAGAGCUCAACCCCUGUCAGGGGAUCGAUAGGCAGUUUUCUGGGGAAAGGAGGGAUUUUAUUCAGUGGAGUAGUCACUGGUGAGGUACUCACCCUCCUGUAAAUAGCCCUCACUUCCUUUUCCAGAAGCAACCCCAAUGUCACUCUCUGAGUCAUCUAUAAUCAAACAAUACAGUGGAAAAGAUAAGAAAGCAUGAAGACAGCCGGGCGUUGCUGGUGCACACCUUUAAUCCCAG
rnacentral:lncRNA from 1 species